GAGUUUUGAACCUGGCUCAGGACGAACGCUGGCGGCGUGCCUAAUACAUGCAAGUCGAACGCUUCUUUUUCCACCGGAGCUUGCUCCACCGGAAAAAGAGGAGUGGCGAACGGGUGAGUAACACGUGGGUAACCUGCCCAUCAGAAGGGGAUAACACUUGGAAACAGGUGCUAAUACCGUAUAACAAUCGAAACCGCAUGGUUUUGAUUUGAAAGGCGCUUUCGGGUGUCGCUGAUGGAUGGACCCGCGGUGCAUUAGCUAGUUGGUGAGGUAACGGCUCACCAAGGCGACGAUGCAUAGCCGACCUGAGAGGGUGAUCGGCCACAUUGGGACUGAGACACGGCCCAAACUCCUACGGGAGGCAGCAGUAGGGAAUCUUCGGCAAUGGACGAAAGUCUGACCGAGCAACGCCGCGUGAGUGAAGAAGGUUUUCGGAUCGUAAAACUCUGUUGUUAGAGAAGAACAAGGAUGAGAGUAACUGUUCAUCCCUUGACGGUAUCUAACCAGAAAGCCACGGCUAACUACGUGCCAGCAGC
rnacentral:rRNA from 1 species